rnacentral:rRNA from 1 species
GGACUGAUUAUUUUGUGACUGAGUGGCGGACGGGUGAGUAACGCGUGGAUAACCUGCCUCACACUGGGGGAUAACAGUUAGAAAUGACUGCUAAUACCGCAUAAGCGCACAGUACCGCAUGGUACGGUGUGAAAAACUCCGGUGGUGUGAGAUGGAUCCGCGUCUGAUUAGCCAGUUGGCGGGGUAACGGCCCACCAAAGCGACGAUCAGUAGCCGACCUGAGAGGGUGACCGGCCACAUUGGGACUGAGACACGGCCCAAACUCCUACGGGAGGCAGCAGUGGGGAAUAUUGCACAAUGGGCGAAAGCCUGAUGCAGCGACGCCGCGUGAGUGAAGAAGUAUUUCGGUAUGUAAAGCUCUAUCAGCAGGGAAGAAAAUGACGGUACCUGACUAAGAAGCCCCGGCUAACUACGUGCCAGCAGCCGCGGUAAUACGUAGGGGGCAAGCGUUAUCCGGAUUUACUGGGUGUAAAGGGAGCGUAGACGGCGAAGCAAGUCUGAAGUGAAAACCCAGGGCUCAACCCUGGGACUGCUUUGGAAACUGUUUUGCUAGAGUGUCGGAGAGGUAAGUGGAAUUCCUAGUGUAGCGGUGAAAUGCGUAGAUAUUAGGAGGAACACCAGUGGCGAAGGCGGCUUACUGGACG